UCCGGUUUGGCACCGGCAGUCUCCGAUGAGUCCCCGGCAUUACCCGCUGGCAACAUCGGACAGGGGUUGCGCUCGUUGCGCCACUUAAGGCAACACCUCACGGCACGAGCUGACGACAGCCAUGCAGCACCUGUGCGGGCUCCCGAAGGAGCGCCGUGUUUCCACGAUUUCACCCCGCAUGUCAAGCCCUGGUAAGGUUCUUCGCGUUGCGUCGAAUUAAACCACAUGCUCCACCGCUUGUGCAGGCCCCCGUCAAUUUCUUUGAGUUUUAACCUUGCGGCCGUACUCCCCAGGCGGAUGACUUAACGCGUUAGCUGCGCCACCGACGGUAAACCGCCGACACUUAGUACCCAUCGUUUAGGGCGUGGACUAC
rnacentral:misc_RNA from 1 species